GUUUCCUUCUCCCUCCCCGUCUCCCCCUUAAAAUUAGAGCUUCUGUUAACUUAGAAUUUGAAUGAAACUGCUUGAGAUGUGAUCUAUUGGCUUGAAACAUCUUUUGAAAUCCAGAGUGAUGAAGUUCAGCAUGUUUCUGUUGAUAAAAAUCUAUGGAGUAGAGAAAAAGAUUUGCUUAGGGGAGUCUUAAGCUUUUGAUGUCACUCCAACAAACAGAGUCUAUCUGCAGUGUUGGCUUGUUGAUCAGGAACUCUUGAAAAUUUAGAGCAGAAGAACCCUCUGAAGAAAUGUUUGAACCAUUCGGAGGUUACCAGAAGCUCUGAAAGACCGUUUGGAAUAUGUUGCAUCACGUUUUCUGAUGUUGUCCAGAAAUCUUCAAGUGUCAAUUUUGUAUUUUAACUCCUUCCUUUUACCUGACUAUCAGGGAAGCGUGGUUGAGGCUGACCUGACAUGUCAUGAUGUCGACUUGCUAGGUGGGGUUCGCAAGGGACAGUUUCCUUGGAGUUGUCGUGAAACCCUUCUUUAAUAGAAUGAGAAAGCUAAGAAUAUACAGCACACUUUUUCAAAGCAUAGGAAUGCUGAUUAGAAAUGUGUCCAAGUAGAUCUCUACAGACUAAUAAAAAAUUAUUUUAAAAAAAAAAGGCAUAAAAUGGAUUUGG